AGAAAUAAUUGUUCAGCUGUUGUCAAGAAGAAAAUGCAUGAGGUUUGGACGCGUCCUCGCGCUCCUACUGUUUGCUCGCGCGCGCGUGCGUGGAAGAGCGAUUUCAAAUACAAAGAAGUAACGGCUCCAUUCAUCAAAGAGAGUAAGAAACAACCGCUGCGCAAGGUGAGUAAAGACUCCGAAAUAAAUACACAGAUUUAUUAUUUGUAUACUAAUUUCUACACUGACACAUUAGACUGUAUGUUUUUUUUUUGUUUUUUUUUUGUAUGUUUGUUUUAACCAUUAAUUUAAUAGCCGCGAUGCUUACGAGGCUAAUGCACUUUGUGGGACGAAAUGGAGACCACAAACACAAGCAGUUAAUGAAGAAAUGUGGCUCUGUAGUGGACACCUGUGAGGCAGUGGACAGCUGCUGAUGUCUGAUGCUGACUGACAAUAAACAGACCUCUCUGUACCUACCCCAUCUUUUGCAGAGAUAUUAUACCAUUGCCCUUCCUGUUACAUGAUGAUCCUGCUGUCCUGGACUGUAUAUGAUGAGCCUACACAUAAUCUCAGAACAGCUGUGGUAAUAACAGAGGACCCAUUAGAUGAGAGCGGCACUGCAGACUUUCCUGAUGGUGAGGAGCUUCUUGCUGAUGAACCUGCCGACAUGAGUUCACCUUACUAUGAGUAACUGUGUUCUGUUCAACAUUAUACAGAAAAGCAAUUAAAAGUUCACUAAACCGCACUGUUUUUCUGCUGUAUCUGUUGGUCAUUCAGGAGGAGAUCAUGGACAAUUUUCACAAGACUGAUGAUGUGUUUCAGCUGUGUUUGUAUCGUAAAUCCUCACAAUGUUUGUAUAUUUUGAUUUUUUUUUUAUUAUGUGCAUUUAUAACACUAUACUUUGUAUUAUAUCACAUUCAUAUCAAAUUACAGAAAAAAAUAGUUAAUGCUAAUGCAAGGGUGUUUCUAAUCCAGAGUCUUUGGGAGGGAUGCUAAAUUUGACAUUGUUCUCUCUUCUGACUGCUGUUAUCAGUCUCUGACAGAUUAUUUUCUUUGAUUUAAAGUUGUGAAAAUGCUAUUGUAGAGUUUUUCAUUUUGCUAUUUGAGUAAAUAAUAGUUAACCCAACUAUAACAACUUACACUGCUGAGAAACUGGUUUAUUAAGCUAAAUACAUCUAUCUUGAGGCUUAUCAAUUUCUUGAAAUGUCCUGUGUGAAUUCUCCCAAUCAGUCACCACUAUUUAGAACAGGAAAGAAUAUGUUACUAUUAAUUGCAUUGUGUCUAAAAUUUAAAUCAUUGUUUUAGGUACAUAAAAUGUUUUUUUUUUUUAAGUUCUAAGAUUAUUGAGUCACAUUUAUUUGUUUCUAAUUUUACCAAGGUGUAAAUGCUUUUUUGUUGUUGUUGUUGUUUAUAGCAGUAUUAACACUGAUGUUGCCAUGAAUGGGAUUGUGAUGUGCAGUAUUGUGAUUAUGGAUAUUGUUGUUGUUUAUCAAUAAACUGUUUUAUACGCA